AGGGGGUUGUGCUUUCUCUCUGGAUCUUUGUAGGAAGAAGGUGUCCUUUCAAUAAGAUAUUAUUAAUGGCUUGCCUCUUGCCGAGGCAAGAGAAGAGAAAUCCAGUUGUUGGCUGAAGUGGUUAUGUGUCUGAAGAUUAGGUGCUGUGUUAAGGAUGCACCAUGUACCUUCUCAGACAAAGACCAUGGAGUGACUCAGAAUUCUGUUCUGACCUGCUGGGCUGAAGAAACAUUAAAGGAACAACCGGAGCGUGUGCGGAUGUUUGAGCAGCGUUGCGUGCUCCAUGGAUGGCUCCUCGAGCCCUGAUUCCACCAAAAGCAGUUCUAAUGCUAAGUACUGAUGCAGUCCAUGAUGCCAUUGUACUUGGCCUUCAAGCAGCAAGGAUUGUGAGGUUUGGCAUCGUGCUGAGAGAAGCCCCAGAAAAACCAAGAAAGGAAACAUUAAAGAAAACAAAGCUGCCUGCCUAGCAAACCAAGGAAAGCAUCCAUGACCCUCUGGAUCAUGUUCCGUCCACAUUCCUGGUUUUACUGGCUGUCCAGUAAAGGUCUUGCAAAGUUCUCUGUUACUGAAGACACAGGAAAUUCUCUGAAAAGUGUGCAGCACGGUGCAGGCACCACAACAGUGAUGUUCACGAACCUGUGAAGUCUGGAGACCACAAACCAUGAAGCUUUGCUCUGUACCAUAGAAUUAACCCACGGACAGAUGAGAGACUGCUCUGGAUUGGUCACUCCCAUGUUUAGCAGGAGUACUUUUGUGAAGAACUUUGCUUGUAUCUUGCUGAGAAACACCAGGAAUGGGUAGCAACCUCAGGCAGAAUUCCCUGCUUGUGGGAGACUCUGAUGAGGGCUUAAGUGUGAAAUCCUUCCUCUGGACUGGAUUAUUUACAGCUACUGGGAAGAGUAAAUAGCACAAUGGUUUUGUGCUGCUCACUGGGAUUUCAAGUGGAUAACAUGUGUCACUUUCUUGUUCUAUCUUUGUGUUCAGGCCAUCUGUGCAAUAGCAAUCUGCCUGCUUGGAUUCUCAUCUCCUCAAGGAGAAUGACCCAAAACUCAAACUGCAGCUGGAAAUCAGUGAGUUUUUCUCACUGCUUGUCACCUAUUGUAAGAUUGUGUCAGAUGCCUUCAAUUUAUCCCAGGGGACUGCUCUGAGAGGAUUAACAGAAGGUGUGAAACAUGGAUUUGGAGCUUAUGAGAAAGUAACAGUUAGGUUUUGGUGAGCCAUUUGAGGUUUUUAAAGCAUUUGCUGUGUAAUGAAUCCCAAAUCUUCUGAACGGUUACUCAUCUAAUAUUUUAAUAAGAGGAGAAAAUGUGCUGGGUAGUGUUAAGCAUUUAACAAGGGAGGGGAAGCCUCAGUAGCCAGCAGAAGUGUGGUAACUUGAGCACAACCCUAUUUACCACAGCUCUUUGAACUGCAGACCAAUGUGAGUUAAUUAGAGCUCAAGCAGAAGAUGUGUGUGCUGUGAAACAAGGCUGGAGCAUGUGGAUUCUUAAUGAAGCUGUGGUAUCCAUCAUGGACAAAGUGCUCAACAGACAGCAAUUUGCUGGUUCAGGGACUCUGUAAACUGCUCCUCAUCUGCUCCUUUCCUGCUGCAACAGCUAAUUUUGCUCAGGUGUCUCAGGUUAAUUUUGCAUGUGUCUCAGGGCAGCGGCAUUUCAGAUACCUGUAUAAAUUGAUCAAAAUGUAUAGCCAGCAAGCUGGGGCUCACAGAAAUGCAGGACAUCAAAUGAGAGGCUUUGGGUGAUUAGAAACCUGUGAUUUGCAGUGCCUCUGUAUCAUCCUGAAAGCUGGUGCCUUUUACCUACUUGAACACCAGCUCAGGGUCAGCACAGCUCGGCUGCACUCUGCAGCUGGAGGAGUUUGAUGAGGAAGGGUCAAACUAGAGCACAGGUGAGCAGCUGAAGCUUUGAGCAGUGUAAUUCUUGAUGCAUACCACAACUCUGCCUGCAUCAGUAGAAACUGAUGCAGUGAGAGCCAACUCUCAAGUGGUGUUGGCACACAGUGUUCCUAGGCUUCUCUCUCAGGUGAUGCAAAAAUCUGGUCCAUGGUGGGAGCUUCAUGUCUAAAGAAAUGGUAGAGCUUCAGUGACUGCUAAAGCAAAGAGAUAUUGGUACUUGAUCUACAUGUUCUUGAGACAUUAUGUGGGGGUUGUUGUACCAAGACCUUGGUCAUUCCGAUA